AUUGAACGCUGGCGGCGUGCUUAACACAUGCAAGUCGAGCGGAGCGGCGAACGGGUGAGUAACGCGUGAGUAACUGCCCCCCUCUCUGGGAUAACAGUUGGAAACGGCUGCUAAUACCGGCUAGUGGGGGAUGACUCGCGUCCUAUCAGCUUGUUGGUGGGGUAGUGGCUUACCAAGGCGACGACUGGUAGCCGGCCUGAGAGGGCGACCGGCCACAUGGGGCUGAGAUACGACGCAAAAUCCUACGGGAGGCAGCAGGGGGGAAUAUUGCACAAUGGGGGACACCCUGAGGCAGCAACGCGGGAGCGGGAAGACGGCCUUGGGGUUGUAAACCGCUUUCAGCCAAGACGCGGUAGUGGCAGAAAAAGCACCGGCUAACUACGUGCCAGCAGCCGCGGUAAUUC
rnacentral:rRNA from 1 species